rnacentral:misc_RNA from 1 species
UAUGGGUGUGAUGGAUCCGUAUGGAUAUGUUGGAUAUUCCCGUUACCAGGCAAGCUACUGUGACUCUUUUGCUGUUCAUAUUAUUAUAUUAUUGUCUUUUUCCUUGGAUGACUUGAGUCACAAAAAUAAUUAUCAACAGUGUAAAGGUUGGAAUAAUUGAAGUUUCUUGGCAGUUUGUCGCCAACAGAAAAUUCAAUUGCGUGUUCUUUGAAUAUUCUACAUACGCCCCUUCAUC